rnacentral:rRNA from 1 species
GACGAACGCUGGCGGCGUGCUUAACACAUGCAAGUCGAACGGGAUCCGGGCUUUCGGGUUUGGUGAGAGUGGCGAACGGGUGAGUAGCACGUGAGUAACCUGCCCCCUUCUUUGGGAUAACGUCGGGAAAUCGGCGCUAAUACUGGAUAUUCUUGCUGCAUCGCAUGGUGUGGUUUGGAAAGGGUUUCUGGUGGGGGAUGGGCUCGCGGCCUAUCAGCUUGUUGGUGGGGUGAUGGCCUACCAAGGCUUUGACGGGUAGCCGGCCUGAGAGGGUGUCCGGCCACACUGGGACUGGGACACGGCCCAGACGGCUACGGGAGGCAGCAGUGGGGAAUAUAAGACAGUGAGCGCGAGCCUGAUGCAGCGACGCCGCGUGAGGGAUGACGGCCUUCGGGUUGUAAACCUCUUUCAGUAUGGAACAAGGAUCGUUCUUUUGGGGGGUUUGAGGGUACGUGCAGAAGAAGCGCCGGCUAACUACGUG